rnacentral:rRNA from 1 species
UGGGGAAUUUUGCACAAUGGGCGAAAGCCUGAUGCAGCAACGCCGCGUGCGGGAUGAAGGCCCUCGGGUCGUAAACCGCUUUCAGCAGGGAUGAAAUUGACAGUACCUGCAGAAGAAGCCCCGGCUAAAUACGUGCCAGCAGCCGCGGUAAUACGUAUGGGGCAAGCGUUAUCCGGAUUCAUUGGGCGUAAAGCGCGCGUAGGCGGCUUGUUAAGUCAGAUGUGAAAACCGGGGGCUCAACCCGCGGCCUGCAUCUGAAACUGGCAGGCUUGAGUCUGGUAGAGGAAAGUGGAAUUCCUGGUGUAGCGGUGAAAUGCGCAGAUAUCAGGAGGAACACCAGUGGCAAAGGCGGCUUUCUGGGCCACGACUGACGCUGAGGCGCGAAAGCUAGGGGAGCGAACAGGAUUAGAUACCCUGGUAGUCCUAGCCGUAAACGAUGGGCACUAGGUGUGGGGGGUCAUCGACUCCCUCCGUGCCGAAGCUAACG